AAGUCUAGGGCCAGAGGCGACCGCAGCUGCAGUUCCUCAUUCAUCCCUGUGCUUCCUGCUCAACCAGCGUGGGAGGAAACUUGGUUUUCGCUUUUCCACAUAGUCCCAAGGAUUUGCAAACUAACUACCACAGUUUCUGGCAUAUGAUAAACCCGUAUUUAACAGACAAAUCUUAGAAUGAAGCAAAUAGGAAAAUUUACCUACCACACUUCACUCAAGCUCCUAAUUUGUGAGGGGCAGAAAGAGGAAAUGGUCGAUGAUCAAAUAUUUCCACCAAUAUUUGAUUGAACAAAUUCAUUGAGGCUCAUUGAAGUGGAAUAUGGUUUGCAUAUGAAAAAUUGAAAAGAAAAAGAGGUCAUAAGUUUUGAGCAGCAAGUCAAAGAACAGGAAGAGCAAGAGGAGUAAACUCAAGAAUGAAAGGAAAUACCUUAAAUUUUUAAAAACUUGCAUGGAAAGAGAAAAGGAAGGAGAAAGUGUACAAAAUCAUCCAGAGUCGGAGUUAGAGAUAUACUACUGUCAUUUAGAGCAAGCUGCACCUGAUGCGGAGAUUUCCACAGUUUCUGCGGAAAUAGUUCCCAUCCUUUCCUCUGCACACUUGCGGUAACAGGCAGCUUGUAGCUGUCAGGGUAGCCUCUCCGUGAGACAGCUCUAACUCACCACAAGAAUGUCCUUAUAAUGAGCAGAAAACUGCUGCACCAAGACUUGCUCUCAGCUCAUCAGUUUGAAGCAACACAAAUUAAAUAUCUUAACUUUUUCUAUGAACAGGACACCAACUAUUUGGAAAGAUGUGUCAUGCGCCACCAUAGGGCAGUGGGCGCUAAGCAAAUUUUCCCAUCGGUUCCUUCCUUCAGUCCCCAUAAGAAGUGGUUUCCUUCUCCUCACCCUCGCAGACAUAGUGACUCAUCAUGCAGACAAGGACGCCUUCCACAGGGACCCAGGAUAGGCUGCACCCUCCAGGUGUGGGCUGCACUGUACGAGUGCAUUGAUAAACAGUGGCUGUGCUUGCAGUCAUCACUAUAAUUCUAUUAAUGUGGCUUCUGUCUGCACUCACUUGAGUGAAUAUAUUAUGAGCUAAGACAAGUGAAUUGCCACUAAAUUAGGGCAAAUUUUUGGAGGGUUUUCCUUUAUAGCUCGAGGACAUAAUGGUGAAGCUCAUUCCCACCUCUGCAGAGAGAGCAAAUAAUAAGCACUUCCCAUCUCAUGGCUUUGGAAAUCCAGUUCCAUCCUCCCUCCCCCUCAAAGCCCCUAAACCCUGAAAACGUUCUCCUAUCUCUUCAAGGAAUCCCCCAAUAUCAUUACUGCUUAAUAAUCAUCAAAAAACAGGUUAAACUUCUGUGAAGUUAUAGAACUUUUUAUAUUCAGUCUACUUCUCACCACAUGAUGCCCUGGGUGCCUCUCUGUCCUGAGAUGCCCACCUACCCUGAGGCCCACCUAUGCCAUCUAGGACUCCCUGUCACCCAACUCUCCAAGCAGACCCUGAGGCCAGCCUUAUUGCAAACUCCCACGAGCCUGUUCCUUCUGAUUACCUUAGGUAGUACAUGCCCAAUCUGCAAAUCAAUCUCAUCUAACACUAAGUAGUUGUUUAGGUUGUGUUACUGAAUACUUGGGAGAGGAGACCUCUUUCAUGACGUCAUCUUAAUGAAUCAAUCAACUUAUUCAAGCAGGCAUCAGUUCAUUGAUUAAACACUCACUAGAUGCCAAGCCUCACGUAUGUUCCUGAUAACAUGAAGGUGUGAGUCCAGGAGCCCUGACUUCAAGGCCUGCUUAACUCCACUCUCAAGAAACGCUUCCUCAGAGAUACCCAUCUAGAGGCUACAGAUAUGGUUGUGUGAAGCUGACAGAUAGGAUCAUCUGUUUGAAUGCUUAUGGACCCUAUAAGAAGACAGAAAAUAUCACUUGCAAAAUAAUAUCAAGAAUUUGGUUCCAGGAGAUAUUGAGGUAGCUGUAUUAAGUUCAGCUCCUGAUUUGUAGGUGAAGAGGGCAGAAUGGGGCCUGGCCACAGAAAGUUACCUAGGCAACGUCUAAGGGAAAUAAUGGCAGAGGAGCAAAGUGCAGAUGUACAAGUUAAAUAUGAGGAUGCAAAUUGGUGUAUACAACCUAAGAGGAACUAAAAUGUGCCAGCAACUGCCAUUCAAGUAGAUGGGGUUGUAGUGGAUAAGAAGCUCAAGAUUCUGACUCGUCAGUGUGAACAUUUCAAUUCUACCCCUGGCUCCUAAAAGCCAUGCUCAGAAUAUGAAUGGAUAAAAUCCCUAGAAUUCUCACAGUAUCAUAGUUUGGAGAAGUUGUCUCUGGAUAAACAGAGAAAGAGAACACCCCACAAGAGAAAAGUCUGGACCUGCAACUGUGGACACAACCAGGAAGGCAAUAACAGCUGCCCGUCUGCCAAGGCAAGGGACUUGAACUUCACUUCCUGGGGCUGGGAAGAGGCUACAGACUGGGCAGGAGAGGUUUCUUUACAAGCUAUUACAUGGGAUUCGUUGUUGGGUUGACUUUUUCUGCCUCUAGGUAUCGGGCUUAUGUUCCACAGGUGCCAGGAUCCUGUCUGACGUCUGCACCACUGUAUUCCCAAGACCAAACUAAAAUAAAAUAAGUCACGUAUUAAUGGCAACAUUAA